rnacentral:rRNA from 1 species
AAUUGCGAUACGUAAUGUGAAUUGCAGAUUUUCAGUGAAUCAUCGAAUCUUUGAACGCACCUUGCGCCCCUUGGUAUUCCGAGGGGCAUGCCUGUUUGAGUGUCAUUUAAUUAUCAACCAAUUUAGUCUUUGAUUAGACUUUUUUGGAUUGGAGUUGGGAAUUGAUGGUCUUAACAAAGGAUCAGCUGUCCUUAAAUGCAGUAGCAAGUGAAAGUAAUUUUACGUGGCACGGCCUUUGACGUGAUAAUGAUCGUUGUGGGCUUGGAAGCGUUUAAUUAAGCUAGUAGUUUGCUUUUAAUUAUAUAACGAGUGAAUUUCUAUGUGCAUACGGCUGGAAAGCAUUAGUAAUGGAAGCUUGAGCGGAAAGUAAGCUAUGUUGUAAAAGGCAUAGUAAAUGUGGAAGCUUGAGUGAAAGUGAGAAUGUGUAGUAGGCUGGAAGGGCAUAGCAUUGAAGCUAGUUAAACAAGGAAUUGAAAAAUAACCUGUGGAAUAUUUCUAUGUGCAUACGGCUGGAGAAAACAUUAGUAAUGGAAGCUCUUAGUGUAAAGUGAACUCAUGGGUUCCAUGAUAGUAAUGAAAAGCUUUGAGUGAAAGUGAGGAUGUGUAGUAGGCUGGAAGCAUAGUUAUUGAGAAACUAGUGAAAAAGUAAAUUCCGACUUGAAAGUUGACCUCAAAUCAGGUAGGAGUACCCGCUGAACUUAAGCAUAUCAAUAAGCGGAGGAAAAGAAACUAACAAGGAUUCCCCUAGUAACUGCGAGUGAAGCGGGAAAAGCUCAAAUUUUGAAUCUGGCAGUCAUCA